rnacentral:ncRNA from 5 species
ACUGUCCCUAUCUACUAUCUAGCGAAACC